UCUCCAGCUAUUUUUGGACUACAAUUCCCAUCAUCCCUGACCACUUGCUAGCUAAGGAUGAUGUGAGUUGUAGUCCAAAAACAGCUGGAGA